CUUUAAUUUCUAAAUUUUAACUUCUAAUACAUUUAGUUUCUCUGUGUCCAACUUCAACCGUGAAAAAUUGGAAGAACUGAAAAAUGGCUAAUAACCCUAAAUCCCCAAAUUGAUGAAGAACUCUAAACCUUCAAAUUGGUGAAGAUUCCAAACCCUCAAAUCCAGAAUUGAAGUUCACUUUAAUAAUCUAAGCCCACUCUCACACAAUUAAAGGUUCAGAAUCGAAGGGUAGGAACUCAAUCAAAAUUGAAGAUGGCAGAGAAUAUAGAGAAUACAAUUUUUACAACCUCGGUUGGCCUUCAUGAAGAAACUACGUUGCCACCACAUCCCAAUAAAAAAAAGCGCCAAUUACGAUCUGAUAUGUGGAACCACUUCACCAUAGUGGAAGGUGACGAGAAAAAAGCUAAAUGUCAAUACCGUGGAGUCUUAAUUAAAUAUAGUAAUGAAACAAGUGGUAUGAGGACUCAUCUAGGUAGAUGUACUGUUUAUGAUAAUGAUAAAACUCAACCAAACAAAAGGAGAAAAACCACUUCAGAAGGGAAAUUAGUUUGUUCGCCAAGCUAUUCUAAAUUUGAUCAAGAGGAAUGUCGAGCGCUACUUGUGAAAACAUUUGUGUGUGCCGAGCUUCCAUUUCGUUUUGUGGAGAAUAAAGUGUUUAGAAAGCUAUUGAUCACCUUGCAGCCUCGAUUUUCUAUCCCAUCACGGUCUACAUUGAGGCGUGAUAUUUGGGUGCUCUACCUUGAAGAAAAGGAGAAAUUGAAAAAAUUCUUGUCAAAUUGUGGAAGAGUUUGUUUGAGUACUGACACUUGGACUUCGACUCAAAACUUAAGUUACAUGAGUUUGACCGUGCAUUUUGUGGAUAGUGAGUGGAAGAUGCAUAAGAAAAUCAUCAACUUUUGUCAAAUCACGGGGCACUCAGGUCACAUGAUUGGGAAAUAUAUUGAUGAUUACUUAAGAAGUUGGGGGUUGAGUCAAAUCUUGACCAUAACGGUUGACAAUGCAUCGGCAAACACAUGUAUGAUUAAGUAUUUAAGCAUAAGGAUGGGUCUUGGAGUAAUCUUGUUUUGAAUGGGGAAUUUGUCCACAUGCGUUGUUGUAUGCAUAUCUUGAAUUUAAUCGUAAAAUCGGGAUUGAAGGAGGAUAAAAGUUGCAUAAAAAAAAUUCGUCAUGCAGUUAAAUAUGUCAAAUCUUCUCCUAGCAGACUAGCCAAAUUUAUGGAAUAUGCAGUGAAGGAAAAAGUUGCAUACAAAGUGUUGUUAUCCUUGAUGUUGAAACCAAAUGGAAUUCAACUUAUUUAAUGUUGAAGGCUGCUUUACAAUAUCAAAAAGCUUUUGACUUGCUCUAUGCACGAGAUAAACAUUUCGCGAAGAAAUGGACAAAACAAAUGGGGAGUUAAGAAAGAGGAUUGGACAUAUGUUUCAUCAGUGCUUCCCUUACUUGAGAUGUUUUACAAAUCUACAAAUCGCUUGUCUGGAUCAUUAUAUGUCACUAGUGCUUCAAAUAUGGCAGAGGUAUUCUCCAUUGGAAAAGGGACCAAUAAGUAUUUAGAGAGUGAUAAUGAGUACAUAAAAAACUACGACGGAGAAGAUGAAACAUAAACUCAACAAGUAUUAGGGAAAUCAUGACACAAUAAACAUCUUACUGUUGAUUUCUUUUGUUCUUGAUUUAAGGGUGAAAUUGUCUAUUGCUGAAUUUUAUAUUAGUCCACUGGAAAGGUUGAUGAUUUAAAAAAAAAUUGAAGUCUUCUCUUUCAGAACUUUAUGCUCAAUAUCGAGGUGUUGAUGACUCUCAAACUAGCCAACUAGACACACCACUGAAUGAGGAUGAUGAUGAUAAUAUUUUUUGUCACUACAGUCAAGAAACUGGACAUAAGUAUGAUCUUAAGAGUGAAAUUGAAUCAUAUAUACAAGAAGCACGGGUAUCAUACAACAAAGGAGCUGAAUUUGACAUAUUGGGAUGGUGGAAAGCCAACUUAACUCGAUAUCCUGUUUUGGCAAGCAUAGCUCGAGAAAUGUUGGCCAUUCCCGCCUCUACAGUAGCUUCAGAGUCAGCUUUCAGCACUGGCGGGAGGGUUGUUAGUGAUUAUCGCACUUGUCUAACGUCUAAAAUGGUGGAAGCGCUUGUUUGCACGCAAGACUGGUUGAAAGGAAAAUCAAUCUCUUUAUUUUCUGAGGAGGACCUUGAUGAGAUCCAUCAAAUUGAGCAAGAGAUAACGUCCCCGGCGUCGGUUAAUCUUGAUGAUGAUGAAGAUUUUGCAAGUUAAAAGAGUUUCGAAACACCGGUUUAAUUUUAGUUGCUUUUGGUUUAAGAAAUGGUUCGAUUGAAUUUUGAGUGAAAGUUGUAAUUAGAUAUUAGGAUUGACUUAUUCGAGCUUAUCUACUAAUAUAAGUUUUGUGACACUGUUUGGGAGAUUUUAUCAAAACAACUUAUCACAUUUCUUAUAAGUUUUUUUUAGCUUAUU